rnacentral:misc_RNA from 1 species
CACGUGCUUGGCGACCAGAUCGUCAACGAGCGCAUGGCGCAUGUCGGAGACGGUCUCGGCCACGUUCUGGUCGCGCAUCAGAUCGAUGCGCUGAUCGAAGAUCGCCUUGCGCUGGUCGUUCUGCACGUCGUCGAACUUGAGCAGGUUCUUGCGGAUGUCGAAGUUACGCGCCUCGACCUUCUGCUGUGCCUUCUCGAGCGCCUUGUUGAUCCACGGAUGGAUGAU